GUCCACGCCCUAAACGAUGAUCACUCGCUGUUGGCGAUACACUGUCAGCGGCUAAGCGAAAGCGUUAAGUGAUCCACCUGGGGAGUACGACCGCAAGGUUGAAACUCAAAGGAAUUGACGGGGGCCCGCACAAGCGGAGGAGCAUGUGGUUUAAUUCGAUGAUACGCGAGGAACCUUACCAGGGCUUGAAAGUUAGUGAUCGUCUGUGAAAGCAGAUUUUCCGCAAGGACACGAAACUAGGUGCUGCAUGGCUGUCGU
rnacentral:rRNA from 1 species